rnacentral:rRNA from 1 species
UGGCUCAGGACGAACGCUGGCGGCGUGCCUAAUACAUGCAAGUCGAGCGGACAGAAGGGAGCUUGCUCCCGGAUGUUAGCGGCGGACGGGUGAGUAACACGUGGGUAACCUGCCUGUAAGACUGGGAUAACUCCGGGAAACCGGAGCUAAUACCGGAUAGUUCCUUGAACCGCAUGGUUCAAGGAUGAAAGACGGUUUCGGCUGUCACUUACAGAUGGACCCGCGGCGCAUUAGCUAGUUGGUGAGGUAACGGCUCACCAAGGCGACGAUGCGUAGCCGACCUGAGAGGGUGAUCGGCCACACUGGGACUGAGACACGGCCCAGACUCCUACGGGAGGCAGCAGUAGGGAAUCUUCCGCAAUGGACGAAAGUCUGACGGAGCAACGCCGCGUGAGUGAUGAAGGUUUUCGGAUCGUAAAGCUCCUGUUGUUAGGGAAGAACAAGUGCAAGAGUAACUGCUUGCACCUUGACGUACCAACCAGAAA